CUAGUUACUACCCUAUUAUACGUUGAGGAGUUGUAGCAUUUGUUGUUAUGAGAGUUAAUCUCGGUUAUUAUAUAUUGUGAUUAGAGUCAUUAUGGUUGCUGAGAAAACGGUUUGGAGCUGAGGUUUUGGUAGCCAGGAUUUUGAUUGUUGAUUUCGGGUCGAGGCAGAAAGGACUCGGUGACGCGUUUGAGUUAUGGAAUUGCGUUUUGAGCCUCCACUUCCUCGUUCCUCCAUCUUCUCAGUUCUCAACUCCAGCCUCCCACAGAACAGAACCACCCAGCUACCCACGACUCCAGGAGGCCCUCAACGCACUCACCGCCGUCGCACUGACCUCAACACACUCACCUCCGUCGCGCCUUCAGCACGGUGACACCGUCACCAGCGUCGCGCCGUCAGCUCCCUGGCGCCGUUGGGUCCGUCGCGCCCUCAGCCACUUUGCAUGCCACCUCCGUCGAGCUCUGCCUCUGAGAAAGCAGUAGAGAAGCGUUGAAGCGUUGAAGCGUUGUCCUUCGAGCUCUGAGAAAAAGCAACAGAUUUCCUCAUUUCCAGGUAAUUUUUAAUUUAGUUAUGAACAUGAUUUUGUGAUGCAAUCCGAUUCUGAUGAAACUGUGCUCUGAUGAACUGAACUCUGAGUCUCUACUCUCUGAAAACUGAAACUGUUAUGAACUGAUUUUGUGAUUUCA